GAGGGUGUAGCUCAGUGGUAGAGAACGUGCUCAGCAUGCACGAGGUCGUGGGUUCAAUCCCCAGUCCCUCC
rnacentral:tRNA from 1 species